rnacentral:tRNA from 1 species
GGUUGUAGCUCAGCGGUAGAACGCUUGCCUGGCAUGUGUGAGGCCCUGGGUUGAAUCCUCAGCACCA